GCAUAUCAAUAAGCGGAGGAAAAGAAACCAACAGGGAUUACCUCAGUAACGGCGAGUGAAGCGGUAAAAGCUCAAAUUUGAAAUCUGGCUCUUUUAGAGUCCGAAUUGUAAUUUGUAGAAGAUGCUUCGGGUGUGGUUCCGGUCUAAGUUCCUUGGAACAGGACGUCAUAGAGGGUGAGAAUCCCGUAUGUGACUGGAUACCUAUGCUCAUGUGAAGCUCUUUCGACGAGUCGAGUUGUUUGGGAAUGCAGCUCAAAAUGGGAGGUAUAUUUCUUCUAAAGCUAAAUAUUGGCCAGAGACCGAUAGCGCACAAGUAGAGUGAUCGAAAGAUGAAAAGCACUUUGGAAAGAGAGUUAAACAGUACGUGAAAUUGUUGAAAGGGAAGCGCUUGCAAUCAGACUUGCACUUGGUGUUCAUCAGGGUCUCGUACCCUGUGUACUUCAUCAAGUUCAGGCCAGCAUCAGUUUGAGUGGUUAGAUAAAGGCUUAGAGAAUGUGGCUCUCUUCGGGGGGUGUUAUAGCUCUAGGUGCAAUGUAGCCUACUUGGACUGAGGACCGCGCUUCGGCUAGGAUGCUGGCGUAAUGGUUGUAAGCGACCCGUCUUGAAACACGGACCAAGGAGUGUACCUAAUAUGCGAGUGUUUGGGUGUUAAACCCAUACGCGUAAUGAAAGUGAACGCUGGUGAGAACCCUUAAGGGUGCAUCAUCGACCGAUCUUGAUGUCUUCGGAUGGAUUUGAGUAAGAGCAUAUUGGGUGCGACCCGAAAGAUGGUGAUCUAUACGUGAAUAGGGUGAAGCCAGAGGAAACUCUGGUGGAGGCUCGCAGCGGUUCUGACGUGCAAAUCGAUCGUCAAAUUUGCGUAUAGGGGCGAAAGACUAAUCGAACCAUCUAGUAGCUGGUUCCU
rnacentral:rRNA from 1 species